rnacentral:lncRNA from 1 species
CGUCCACCAUCUCCCAGGAUAUCUAGUCAGGCUGACCCCAUCAUACAAUUAUCAGUCUAUACAAUGUUUCAUUUCACUUUUCCUCAAUAAGCAUCAUCAAUUCACAUUUAAACAAGCAAAUCAUAAUUCAUGCCGAACAGACAACAUACAAUAUCACUUCUUCAGUCAUUCAACCCAUAAUUAAUAAAACAGUAAUAUAUGCAUUCGAAACUAUAAAAUGAACACAUCAAACCCCAUAAUGCAUUUAAAGCUGUAAAACAGGCCAAAUAACAGUAAAUCAUCAAUCACACUAGACUCGGGCUCCAUUAGCAACCUUAAGCAAUUUCACACAUGCGUUAAUUCAAG